CUCUCUCUCUUCAAUUCCGGGCUAGUUUUACGCCGGAUCGACAAACCGAAGCCACCACGACGCUCCUGGCGAAGUUCUCUACAAGUCUGCCAGAGUGGAUCGUCAGGGAAACGAAGUUGGAUUUCAUCCCAAAUCCAAGUUCCAGGGUAUUGAUUGGGAACGUUGGGAAUCAUCCCUAAGUUGAGGGUAUUGAGUUGAGAACCUUGUGGGUACGGGGAAGAUUUUCUUAGGGGCUUUUCAGGAAUCAGGAGCCCCGGAUAGGAGAGCGGGAAAAGCCCCGCUGAUAUAGUACGGUCUAUCUACCCUUUUUGAAGGGUAAGUUUUGUAGGGACAGUUAGAUUUUGUGGGAAAUGUCCCUAGGUUUUAUUUUUGGG